UACGAAGGGUGCAAGCGUUACUCGGAAUUACUGGGCGUAAAGCGUGCGUAGGUGGUGGUUUAAGUCUGCUGUGAAAGCCCUGGGCUCAACCUGGGAAUUGCAGUGGAUACUGGAUCACUAGAGUGUGGUAGAGGGAUGCGGAAUUUCUGGUGUAGCAGUGAAAUGCGUAGAGAUCAGAAGGAACAUCCGUGGCGAAGGCGGCAUCCUGGGCCAACACUGACACUGAGGCACGAAGACGUGGGGAGCAAACAGG
rnacentral:rRNA from 1 species